GACGAACGCUGGCGGCGUGCCUAAUACAUGCAAGUAGGACGCAGUUGCGAACGGGUGAGUAACGCGUAGGUAACUGCCUAUUAGAGGGGGAUAACUAUUGGAAACGAUAGCUAAUACCGCAUACUAGUAGAUGGACCUGCGUUGUAUUAGCUAGUAGGUAGGGUAAUGGCCUACCUAGGCGACGAUACAUAGCCGACCUGAGAGGGGUAUCUGCCACACUGGGACUGGGACACGGCCCAGACUCCUACGGGAGGCAGCAGUAGGGAAUCUUCGGCGAUGGGGGGAAACCUGAAUAAGCAACGGCGCGUGAGUGAAGAACGGUGUCGGAUCGGAAAGCUCUGUUGUUAAGGAAGCGGUACUUAGCCAGAAAGGGACGGCUAACUACGUGCCAGCCGCCGCGGUAAUUC
rnacentral:rRNA from 1 species